CAACAGAUAGCUUGGGAAAGGCACCAGAGCCCACGUCAGCCAUGGGGGGCAACAUAGGCAGCCCCAGUACUGCCAGACGGAAAAUCACCCGUUAACAGCCCCCAGCUUAAGCAGCAUGUAUCAUCAGCAAGAUGGCAUUCUUAAGCAUCUGACCAGCAGGGCUACCUAUGCAGCCACCUUCCGUGUGAGCACCACGUUCCUUUUCAGAAGGACGGAAGAGAAUUCCGGGAGUUCCACUGCCAAACAGAACAUGGCUCACCCUCAACGCUCAGGAAACUCCCAUCACCAGUCUCUGGAAUCCCUGCCUUGGGAACACCAAGCAGCCCAGUGGCUCUGUCUUGAGGAGCUAGGCUGGCCCUGACUGGGAGCUGGAGACGCCUGACUACAUUUUAAAGAAGGUUGAAGAUGGGCGUAGGGGAAUGAAAUUCUCCAUCAUCUUCCCAAGCCCAAGGAUUUAGUUCAUCAGAUCCCUUUCCAGGAUGUCUUCCGGGAGUACCUGGGUCUGAAAUGGGCCUUUAACAUGGAGAGUGCAUAUAAGGCUUCCGUGGAAAAAAAAAACUUCUGUUAGAAAAAUCAGAAUUGUUACGGGAAUGAAUGUAUGGUAUGUUAUAUGUUUUGAAUGUAAAACCCUUGUGAACUGAAGUGCCAAAUGAAGUCAUCUCUCUGGGUGUAUAUGUAUGCGUGUACACACAAAAUAACAAAUGUGAUCUUAUUGCCAAUAAAACAGGUUUGAAAAUA